UGACUUUAUGUAGCAGGUUUACGAGAAUUUACGCAGCAGAUUAGGAUAAUUAACGUAUCAGGUCCGGAGAAUUAGGUCAAGGUUAGAAAAAUAGUUAAGGUUAGGGUUAGUGAAAACCUCCUUUUGAGGUCAAAUUCGAGAAAAACUGUAUCCCAUCUAGACAUGACCAUGGACGAGGUGGUUCUAACCUGCGGGUAUCCACACGAUUGAAUAAGACAACAUCCUCUGAAAGCGAAUUGGACGACAUUUCCCUUUCUCCGCCCAUCUUGUCUUCGUAAAACCCUCACUGGCUGAGGGCGCAGUCACUCAAAAGUCGACGGGGUUGCUAUGGGCUUCGGUUUAUGAGGGCAGAGAGAUUUGAUUUCUACUGGGCCACCUUUAUUGCAAGAAAUUGACAGUGACGCUCGCUAAUUUUGAAUUUCCACUUGAAUUCAAGCAACUUCGAAUAGCCAUGGUCACGAAGAAAAACCCACGAGGACAGAAACUGAAAGAGGGCAAAGCACAGCUAGCCAGUAAGAAUGGCAAGAAGCCUGAGGGAGCAGGUGGAAGCUCCUUCUUCACCUGGUUCAUGGUGUUGGCCCUCCUGGGGGUCUGGACCUCCGUGGCCGUCGUCUACUUCGACCUGGUCGACUACCAAGGCACCAUCGCCAAGGCAAAGGACAUGCACAGUACCCUCUCUGAGACACUGCAAGGUAAACUUUCGUCCUAUGACGCCGAUGGAGAUGGUGACUUCGAUGUGGAGGAUGCUAAAGUAUUACUAGGACUGAAAGAGAAGGCUACUGUCGACAUUAGCAGAGAGCGAGCACCAGAGGAGGCUCCUGCAGCACCUGUGGAAGAAGAACACGUUGUUGAAGAAGUGAUCGAGGCCGCCAAAGCAGAGGAAGCUGCUGCUUUCCCACCAGAGCCUGAGGUUGUUGAGGAGGAAGAGCCUGAGAUGGAUGUGCCUGAAAUCUUUGAGGAAGAGCCUGAAGUUCUGGAGGAUGAUUCUUCUCCCUUCGAGGAGCAUUCUUCUCCCUUCGAGGAGGAUUCUGCUCACUUCGAGGAGGAUUCUGCUCACUUCGAGGAGGAUGAGCCUCAAAUCGAGGAGGAUGAGCCUCAAAUCGAGGAGGAUGAGCCUCAAAUCGAGGAGGAUGAGCCUCAAAUCGAGGAGGAUGAGCCUCAAAUCGAGGAGGAUGAGCCUCAAAUCGAGGAAGAGCCCGAAGUACUGGAGGAUGAGCCAGAGGAUGAGGAGGAGGAGGAGGUUAUUGAGGAGUCCGUACCAGUUGAAGAAGAGGCUGCCCCUGUGGAGGAGGUAGUUGCCACUGUAGAAGAGACCUUCGAGGAAGAGGCUGCCCCCGUUGAGGAAGAGGUUGUAGAGGAAGCCGCCCCAGUCAAGGAGGAAGCCGCACCUGAGGAUGAAGAGGAUGAACCUGUUGAGGAGGUGGUUGAUGAAGAGGCCACACCUGAGGAGAAAGAGGAUGCACCCGUUGAAGAGGAAGCCGUCCCAGUUGAUUGGGAAGUCGCUGCCAUGGAACAGGCUGUUGAGGAAGAGGCCAACCCCGCAGAAGAAGAGGCUGCCCCAGUUGACGAGGAAGCUGUGGAGAAGGAGCCAGCAGCAGAGGAGACAUUGGAUGAGGAGGCAGCACUAGCAGAAGGGGAAGAGGUAGAAGAAGAAGCAGAAGACGAAGAAGAGUCUGAACAGGAAGUAGAAGCUGAAUCAGAAGAAACUCAGGAGGAAGCUCUUCAGGAAGAGCUUCCAGAGGAGGUAGAUGAAUUUGAUGAGCCAUUUGAGGAGUUCACAGAAGAACAUGCCGAGGUAGAAGAACAUAUUGAAGAUGCACCAACAGCAGACCAAAAAUAGCCUGUCUGUGUAUAUUGUACGAUAAGAUUUUCCUGACUUCGAAGCCCAUGCCAGAAACGUAGAGCCUACGGUCUCAGCGCAGUAAGACGGAGCGAGGACCAGCCCACUGAGCACGUGUAGCCGUGCUUCCCCACCUCCAGAGAAAGAGUAGCGUUGCCACGACUUUCGCCACUGUCUCCGUUUUUUCACUCACACACUCAGAAUUACGUUUUUCUUCCAUUAGUGUAAAAUCUCACUGUUCCGUUACUUGUUUGAUUAGUAUGUUGUUUUUCUCUCUUGCCUUUUUGUUUUGUUUUCUGUUCUACUUUGUUUCCACGUCUUUUAGUUUAAAGAAUUCCCAUUUUCUGUAUUGGAAAGUAUCAAUGAAUUUCUCUUCUGUAUGUGUAGGUAGAUCAUUUGAGUUGUAGGUUGUUUUUCCUUUCCUGUGUAUAACAAGCAGAGGCACGUGUUGCUUUGCUAGUGAAAGAUCUUGACAUGUCUGAACCGAGUUCAGCAGUGUGCUUUCACCCUGUUGAAUCGUGGGUCAGAACUUCAACAUUUUUAAUGGAUUUUGUUGUUGUUAAACGUGAAGGUAUUAUGCAAAGCUGCACUGAUCUUUCGUGGCAAUUUCACUCUAAGUUUUGUAUUACCAGUGUGUAGUGAGUCUACUACAUGUGGAAGGUAAACUCGGACAAGUCAGGUGACGUGUUGGGCGAGUGUGUGUGAGCUUUAGUGUGUAUGACUGAGAAUGUGUGUAGAUGUUUUGUGUGUGCGUGCGACUGUGUGUCUGUAGACAUAUCACUUUGAAAAACAAUCCCUAUUAGCCGUAGUUCUCAUUAAGAUGUGUUUGAGACUCUUCCUCAUUUCGUUUUGGUUUGUUCCAACUCCUAGUACCUCUCCCUCUGAUAUUUCUUAAGUACUGAAAGUGUUUUUGACUCACUCAGACCUCGAGCCACAACAGUGAACAUCUUUUUGUAUUUCUUAGGAUCUAUGGGAACACAUUUAUUUUCCAGCAGUGCAAGUUUUUUUUAAUUGAAACUUUUUUUUGUCACUUUUGGACAGUAUUUCAGUUGGAAGUAAACUCUCCAAAUGGAAGAUAUGUUGGCGUAUGUUAUUUUGUUCUGGGAAAAACAGAUACAAAAACAACACAGGGAGAUGAGGGAAGAGCAGGGUGUCCGAGUAUAUGGUCGUAACUCUUAGGUUUAGCUCAGUGUGGAUGUAGCUGCUCUGGUCUAACGGUCUGACACAACCCCACCCAGUCUCCUGGUGAAACAGACACUCCUGACUGCUGUGCAGUGUGUGUCCCAGGUCCUCCCAAUAGGUCUGCCACAUACACACACCUGGUCCAACAGGAAUCUGAUUCAUCCAAAUUCAUAAUUCAAUACACUUAAACAAAAAAGUCUGCGUCAACAAUGUUCAUAAACUUCUGUUCCAUUUCUCUCUAAAUGUACAGGUCCACUUUCACUUGUAUAUUAACUGGCUCUAGCCCAGGGUAAGUGCUUCAUUUGGAACAAAGAUUUAUGAAUGUCUGGGAUUGUGGAAGAUUUUAGCAGACACCAGGAACACAUCUUGUUGUUGUCCCUCUGCAUGUAUUUCAGUGCAGCCCCUAAAACCAGCUGGAACCAACUGUUCAAAGAGAAAUGCUGUAGUACGCCUAGAAUGGAACGUGGCUGUGUAACCUGUUAACUAAUAUCCUAACCACACCCAACUCGAAUUUGGCUAGCAUUUACUAUUGACGUUAUUGUCAUUAAGGUUGUCAUUGUUGUUUUUACUACAAGGACAAUGCUAGCUCGUGAUCUGGACUUGAGGCUGGAGGGUUAAGAUCAUGUUUAUUAUUUUGAAGGAGUUACGCGUUUAGUCUGUGUUCAAACUCCUCCGUAAUGUUUCUGUGAAUUCAAAUUGGUGUGUUUUUGUUUUUGAAAUCUUUCCAUUGUAGCAGUUUUCUGUGCAUUGUGGUAUUAAGGGGCCAGAUGAUAUGAUGCUGAUUUAAUGUGAUGGACUGUAGGAAAUGCUGAAAUGCAAGUCUUUUCUGGGGGGGAAACGAUUUGUUUUGACAUAUAAAACAAGUCAAGUGGUUGCAAUAUAGUUUUUAGUACAUAUUUUGUCUUUUUUCUAUAACACUAAUGGGUAUUUUUCUAUUCCCUAACACUUUUGAAGUUGAUGUGAAUUUUUAACGUGGUGUUAAUUUUACAUUAUACAAAACUUUACGAGAUCUGUUCUAGAUUUUUAAAUAAAAAUACACUUUCUAGGAUCAAAACUUUUUUCUGAAUUUUAAAGAAAGUGUUCAACCUUUUUGAAAGCCAUAAGUGAAAGGUGGUGCUGCUCAGAACAGACCUGAUUAACUCCAAGGGGAAGCCAUUGCACAACUAGCAAUAACAGAAAACAUCACUACAAUCUCAAAUUGCAGUUCACAUAUGAACAGAAGUUCACACACAGAAAAACAUGUCAGAGGUUUACGUAGUAUCCUGCUAUACAGGCUAGAAGGUUUUUAAAUGAUUGUGAAAAUGCAUCCUGUAUGCAGGGUUGGAUGACUGUCACAGUUUCUGUAAAUGUUCUGUUGAGGGGCUGCAAUAAAGGUUUGGGACAACA